rnacentral:rRNA from 1 species
CUCUGUGACUCCUACGGGAGGCAGCAGUGGGGAAUAUUGCACAAUGGGGGAAACCCUGAUGCAGCCAUGCCGCGUGUGUGAAGAAGGCCUUCGGGUUGUAAAGCACUUUCAGUAGGGAGGAAGGUAGUGUAGUUAACACCUGCACUAUUUGACGUUACCUACAGAAGAAGCACCGGCUAACUCCGUGCCAGCAGCCGCGGUAAUACGGAGGGUGCGAGCGUUAAUCGGAAUUACUGGGCGUAAAGCGCAUGCAGGCGGCCUGUUAAGUCAGAUGUGAAAGCCCGGGGCUUAACCUCGGAAUUGCAUUUGAAACUGGCAGGCUAGAGUCUUGUAGAGGGGGUAGAAUUUCAGGUGUAGCGGUGAAAUGCGUAGAGAUCUGAAGGAAUACCAGUGGCGAAGGCGGCCCCCUGGACAAAGACUGACGCUCAGAUGCGAAAGCGUGGGGAGCAAACAGGAUUAGACACCCUGGUAG